rnacentral:rRNA from 1 species
AACGAACGCUGGCGGCAGGCUUAACACAUGCAAGUCGAACGGGUGCAGCAAUGCAUCAGUGGCAGACGGGUGAGUAACACGUGGGAACCUUCCUAGGGGUACGGAACAACUCAGGGAAACUUGAGCUAAUACCGUAUACGUCCGUGAGGAGAAAGAUUUAUCGCCCUUAGCACGGGCCCGCGUCGGAUUAGCUAGUUGGUGGGGUAACGGCCUACCAAGGCGACGAUCCGUAGCUGAUCUUAGAGGAUGAUCAGCCACACUGGGACUGAGACACGGCCCAGACUCCAACGGGAGGCAGCGGGGGGGAAUCUUGGACAAUGGGCGAAAGCCUGACCCAGCCAUGCCGCGUGGGUGAAAAAGGUCUCCGGAUUGAAAAGCUCUUUUGCCAGGGACGAUAAUGACGGUACCGGGAGAAUAAGCCCCGGCAAACUUGGUGCCAGCCGCCGCGGUAA